AAGUUCAUAGUCAAGAAUCGUUAAAUAAUUAUUUAAUUAAAAAUGUUAAAUUAUCUAACAACGUCACAUAAAAUACAUAAAGACAACUUCACAUAAAGACAAUUCUAUAUAAGUUUCCACUAUAUACAAAUACAAAUUGGAGCAUUAGGAGAGAAUACGACUCUGGAGAGACCGACAGAGACCAAACCCUCACCUCUAUCACGCACACCUCAUAUCUUCGCUUCCAAUGCUCGUUGCUCUUUGCUCUUGGCUCCUUUCCGUUGCAUCUCCCUCUAUAUCACAGGGAGGAAAUGAGAAUGAGCGACUAUACAAUGGUGGUGGACAAAAAGACUGCAGAGGAAGAAGAUUUGGUGAGGCGUAGCUAGCAUCAAAAAGACAAAACUAAAUGGAGAUGAAGUUCUUGCUGAAGCUGAGGAGGAUGAGACAGAAGAUAUGUGUGAAGAGAUCCCUAAGCUGAAUAAGAAAAUAGGGCCUGAUAAGAUGGAGCCAAGGCAUAUGCAGGCUAAGACUUCCUCAACUGGGGUUUUGACAGAAGGUGAAGUGCCUGGAAGAUCUCGGCAGCAAGCUCUAUCAUAUAGGGAUAGCUUGAUGCGUGAUGAUACUGGUAUGAUUCUCUUCCCAAAUGAAAUCGUAUAAAUGGUCAUAGAGGAAUAUGAUAUGGAGGAACUUUCCGGAAGAGGUAAUACAGAUCUAGCUCCCUUCAAUCCUAAACCUGUGGUUGAUGUUUCAUUAGAGGAAUAUGACAUGUGGUGUAAGCCAUGGAAAGGCUCCUUGAUUGUUAAAUUCUUGGGAAAAAAUAUCGGUUAUCGUGCUAUUGAAUCUUGGAUAAGAAGAGUUUGGACACGAAAAGGGGAUGUUAAUGUUAUGGAUCCCACAUGAGACUUUUUUUUGGUCCGUUUCUCGGAUGAAAGGGACUACCGCCAUGCUCUUUUUGAGGGUCCCUGGCAGGUGGCGAAUCACUACUUUCUAGUGCAGAGAUGGAGGCCGUUUUUUCUCCCUUCUAAUCAACCGAUACAGAAGCUCGCGGUAUGAAUUCGGAUUCCAGGCCUUCCGGUCGAAUUAUACACGGAACAAUUCCUCUGGAGAGUGGGUGGAAAGUUAGGUACAAUGUUAAAGAUUUAUCACACUACUUCCAUACACUCAAGGAAAAAAUUUGCUCGCAUUUGUGUUGAGAUUGAUUUGAGCAAGCAAUUGGUGCCAGCCAUUCAAGUAUUAGGCAGAGAGUUCAAGAUUGAAUAUGAGGGUCUCCACAUGAUUUGCUUUGGUUGUGGCAAAUACGGUCAUAGGAUGGAUCAAUGUUCUGAAGGGCAGAAAAAUGAGGCAACACUGACGACGGAUUCAACGCCGUUGGGAGCUCCGAUGUUGGAUGGGAUGGAAUUAGAAGGUGCGAAAAAGGGGAGACUAGCGGUCACAAUUCAAGUUUGAACAAAUCUCAAGCAGAUUCCACGAAACCAAAUCUCGUGAAUGAGGGUAACCCAAAAGGGGUGGUCAAUCAUGAAGAUCCCAGUUACUUCAAAUCAUGGACGUUAGCUAAAAAGAUGCAAAAAUGCAAUGGGCAGCCUAAACAAGGUUUCGAUACUGUGUCUAGUAAAAGCCAAACUAAGAAAUCAGAUUCUAGGUUUGAAGUCUUGGCCCAGAAACAAUCAGAAACAAAUGGCCCACUAGCUCAUGAUGGAAUGUCGAAAAGCUCAUUAGGUAAUGUUAACAAGCCUUCUAUUGCAAAACAGCACUAUCAUGCGAGUUCUUCAAAUAAAGUGGCUCAAAAAGAUCCUCAGAGAAACAAAAUCGUAGAAUCUUCGAAAAACAAAACAAAUAAGGUUAGAAUUCCUAAUAAUCAAGUUUUUCAACAUGAGAAAAGGAAGGAUAAAAUAGAUGAUAUGAACCUCAAUUUGGUGAGGGAGAAAAAGUAUGAUUAUUGGCUCUCCUGGGAGCUUAUUAAGCAAGCUAGAUACAUGCCAGGAGGUGAUCCUUUGUGCUUGGGAGAAGGUAGCGUUCAGACCCAUUACCCAUCCAAAGAAGUUAUGUAAGCGGUGAAUUUGCUUCAAAACAGGGCUCAAGGCAGUAUGCAAGAAUCAAAACCUCCUAAUCCGGGUGGUACUUGGUGUCUCUGGAACUCUUCUCAUUGGGAUAUCUCAGUGGUGAUAUCUCACAAGAAAUUUAUUCAUCUUCAAAUUGCUUAUCGGUAGGAACCAUUUUAGUAUCUUACUCUGGUUUAUGGAUCUCCCCAUCUUAGCCUCCGUUUUGAAGUAUGGAGUGGGUUGAAGGAUUUAGCAAGGCAAACCUCUGGGGAAUGGUGCGUGGGGGCGAUUUCAACUGUGUUCUCUCGGUGGCAGAUACUGGUGGAACAUCUGGCCUAUCUCAAGACUCAUAGCAUUUUUCUGGGUGUCUUCUAGAUUGUGGUCUUCAAGAUAUUGGGUUUAAUAGUCAACCGUUCACUUGGCAACGUUGUGAAAUUCGUAGACGGCUGGAUAGGUAGGUUGUAAAUAAUGCCUAGUCCCAAAGGUUUAGUCAAGCUAUGGUCAAGCAUCUCCUAAAACUAAAGUAUGAUCAUAUCCCAAUUCUUUUGAAUCUUGAGGUGACUUCUGCUUCUAAUAUUUCUCGACCUUUCCGGUUUCUA